rnacentral:rRNA from 1 species
GACGAACGCUGGCGGCGUGCUUAACACAUGCAAGUCGAACGGAAAGGCCCUGCUUUUGUGGGGUGCUCGAGUGGCGAACGGGUGAGUAACACGUGAGUAACCUGCCCUUGACUUUGGGAUAACUUCAGGAAACUGGGGCUAAUACCGGAUAGGAGCUCCUGCUGCAUGGUGGGGGUUGGAAAGUUUCGGCGGUUGGGGAUGGACUCGCGGCUUAUCAGCUUGUUGGUGGGGUAGUGGCUUACCAAGGCUUUGACGGGUAGCCGGCCUGAGAGGGUGACCGGCCACAGUGGGACUGCGAUACGGCCCAGACUCCUACGGGAGGCAGCAGUGGGGAAUAUUGCACAAUGGGCGGAAGCCUGAUGCAGCAACGCCGCGUGCGGGAUGACGGCCUUCGGGUUGUAAACCGCUUUCGCCUGUGACGAAGCGUGAGUGACGGUAAUGGGUAAAGAAGCACCGGCUAACUACGUGCCAGCCGCCGCAGUAA